GGCACUGUGGCUUAGUUGGUUAAAGCAACUGUUUACUAAACAGGAGAUCCUGGGUUCAAAUCCCAGUGGUGGCU